UACGUAGGGGGGCAAGCGUUGUCCGGAUUUAUUGGGCGUAAAGAGCGUGUAGGCGGUUUGGUAGGUCCGCUGUGAAAAACUCGAGGCUCAACCUCGAGACGCCGGUGGAAAACCAUCAGACUAGAGUCCGGAAGAGGAGAGUGGAAUUCCUGGUGUAGCGGUGAAGUGCGCAGAUAUCAGGAAGAACACCCGUGGCUAAGGCGGCUCUCUAGUACG
rnacentral:rRNA from 1 species